AUGGAAGGUGCACUCAGCCGCCACAGUGAGAAGCUGGCAAUAGCAUUUGCUUUGAUAAGUACAAAUGAUAAUAUACCCAUUCGGAUUGUCAAGAACCUCAGAGUCUGCCAAGAUUGCCAUCAUGUCACCAAACUUAUAUCCAAAGUAUAUGGGAGAGAAAUUGUUGUUAGAGAUCGAACACGUUUCCAUUUGUUCAAAGAUGGCACCUGUUCGUGCAAGGACUAUUGGUAG
rnacentral:rRNA from 1 species